AUGUUACCUAAUGUACGCAAAAAGUCACGUACGCAUAAUGCGAUAGAUAGAGCAGGAUAAUAAAUUGUAAUCAUGCAUAACGGAGCGGAUAAGCUAAAUAUGCCCAUAAGCGCAAUGUAAUUAUCUAGUAUAUAUAAAUUUUCCUUAGCGCGUAACGCUACCAUGGCAACGGGGUGACGCCGUUACGGUGACGCUGUUACGGCGACGCCGUUAUGGUGACGGUGUUACGGAGACGGUGUGUUUCUCAUUGGUUGCUCUUCUUCGUACACGUGCACCGUACUCGGACACUUUUGCUGACCGGCUGUUUUGAUCUAGCAGUUAUUUUCAACCGUUCGGAUUCGAUCUGGUUGAUGGAAUUGUAUUUGUUUUUUUUUUUUGUGGAAUAUAUUUUUAAAGCCGUUGAAACUGUUUUAACUGGUGCUGGGCCAAGUUUUGUGUAUCAAUUGAAUUGCUUGCCUGUAGAACAAACGUGUGUUGAGGUGAAUCGAGCUUGCGGAAAGAAAAGGCAUGUCGAUAUUUGCAAAAAUGGUGCUUUCGUCUGACCAAUUCCAAACGCGAACAGUUUGCGUGAUCCAAUCUAAUAACUUCAAGAGCAUCAAACGGCAACACAGAUGGAGAUCCAUACAGUAUGAAGAUGAAUACAGAUGAAGAUCCAUUCUUUUUGCUUUUAAAACAACGAAACAACUCAAGAAGACAUAAGGAAAAAGGUCGCUCAUCUCGCACCUAAAAACAAAACGGUGGGCAUGUGAAGUAUCCCGUUUCAAGGAGUGUUAGGAGAUGUACGUUAUGAAUGGACCAAGCAAGUACAGGUAACUAAACGUCCAGUUGUAGAAGCCGAACGCAAUAGGGUUGGUGGGAUGGACAGGCCCAACAGGCACUACAAAAAAAAAUGUACAAAGAAAAAAAGAAGAACAUACAUCGCAGUAACGUAGCUGUGAAUGAGAGUUUCAAUAAAGAACGUACGGAAGUGCUCCGGCAAGAAAUUAAAUCUUAACAACCAUCGAAUUCUCUACUUUACUUUCCGAAAUCAGCCAAGGACGUGUGUGAUUCCUUAGCAAAGCGAAACAAAAUCGCAAUUCGAUUAACGACUUUAUUCAGAUGCUUUAGCGUAAUCAUAUAUCGGCAUAUAACUGGAAAUGAAGUUGAUUAUGGCAAAUAAUUGAUGACGAUGAUGAUUUAUACAAAUGCAUGUUCGACAUCGCCCUUGAAAAAUU